UGGUUCCAGUCCUGCCUGCAAGGUCAAG
rnacentral:piRNA from 1 species